CGCAAUAGUUUAUUCUUACAAAAUAUAGACCGGUUAACUUUAGCGAAAUGGGAUCACUUUUAGCUCUUUUAAAAACAAAAUGAACAAAUUUCAUGGGUUAUCAGCAUUACGAAAAGUGUCAAAGUCUCAGAAAAGCAAGACGAUUUUGAAGUAUCUCUUAUUGCUGGAAAAGAUAAACAUCAACAUUUCACGCACAUUUCACAUGAUUUGUAUGUUUCGUUUCGGUAACUGUGUGGCUUGAAAUUUCAAAGAAACCAACAUGUCGACUUACAUGCUACAAAAUUAACGUCUCCCGUAUACAAACUACAAACCUGUUCGAGUUUAAUGAUAGUCACACAUAGUUCCAUCAAUAGCUGUCAAGUGUGAUGGUUUGAAUAGUAAAUCCAGCGACAACAAGCUGCAUCGGCAAAAAUAGUAACUCUCUUGUGUGGAAACAAGGAAGAUUGUAAUAUUAGAGUUGUUCCCCUUUGUAACAGCAGACGACCUUAACAUAUAUAUCACGGACGCUUCUGGACUAAAAAAAAGAAAGAGAAACUUCUCCUCGGCUGACAUAGAUAUCAUUGUAUCAGGUGUGGAAAGUAAUUUUGACAUGCUGAAUUCGGCCUUUACGUAUACAGUGACAAAUAAUGCAAAGAAGAGGAUUUGGAAAGAUAUCACCACGACAUUCUACAACUGAUUCCAUCCUGUGCUAUUGAGGGGAUCCCAGGGGGCAUAGAAACACCUGAUGAUGAUGGCACUUCCUCCUUAGGAUUCAUGGACAUGUGUAUUAAAGUCAAUAAAAUUCUCCACAGGAAGUGUUUUACACUCCACUGACAGCUACAAGCUUAAGUAAGCACAGGAGAAACUGAUUGUGGAACUAGCACAGAAAAGAACCAAGCCAGUCUGGAGGAUAUAAUGAUGACUCCUGCUAUCAGAGCCAAUAUAUGUACCUUAGUAGCCGCAGUAUCCUUGUGGUACACAACUAUCUUCACCUCCUGGAGUGAUGAUCCGGGGUUGUCCUGUCCGAACUGUUCCACCGUCUCCAUCAUGGUUUUGGCCAC
rnacentral:lncRNA from 1 species